AGAUUGAACGCUGGCGGCAGGCCUAACACAUGCAAGUCGAGCGGUAGAGAGGUGCUUGCACCUCUUGAGAGCGGCGGACGGGUGAGUAAUGCCUAGGAAUCUGCCUAGUGGUGGGGGAUAACGUUCGGAAACGGACGCUAAUACCGCAUACGUCCUACGGGAGAGAGCGGGGGACCUUCGGGCCUCGCGCCAUUAGAUGAGCCUAGGUCGGAUUAGCUAGUUGGUGAGGUAAUGGCUCACCAAGGCGACGAUCCGUAACUGGUCUGAGAGAUGAUCAGUCACACUGGAACUGAGACACGGUCCAGACCUCCUACGGG
rnacentral:rRNA from 1 species